rnacentral:rRNA from 1 species
UACAGAGGGUGCGAGCGUUGUCCGGAAUCACUGGGCGUAAAGGGCGCGUAGGUGGCUUACCAAGCGUGUGGUGAAAGCCCGGAGCUCAACUCCGGGUCGGCCAUGCGAACUGGCAGGCUAGAGCACGGUAGAGGCCAAUGGAAUUCCGGGUGUAGCGGUGGAAUGCGUAGAGAUCGGGAAGAACAUCAGUGGCGAAGGCGGCCUGCUGGGCUGUUGCUGACGCUGAGGCGCGACAGCGUGGGGAGCAAACAGG